UCAGGCUCUAGAAACCAGCAAAGGUUUCCAAUAUCAGAGAAAUAGCUAAUCGAUUGCCAGCCAGGAAUCACGACCGUGGCCUUGUCACCUACUUGCUGCCAGAACCUCUCGUACAUGGUCGGAUCCCCACUGCAUGAAGCAGGAUCUGUAGCCAGAUUAACCAAGUGGAUUCAGAUGAGGACUCUCCCUGGAAAAUUACCCACAAGCACACAGCAAGCAAGCAGGGAAAGUCGUCGGAGAAGAUGACGAGGUGGUAGACACAGACAGAUGUGCCCUCUGCGUAGACAGUGCCUCUCUCCGGGCACCGUCACCCCCAAUCAGUUGCUCUCUCUUUAUGUCAAAGGUCUGAUACCCCAGCCU